CGUGGGGAACCUACCGUAUGCAGGGGGACAACAGUCAGAAAUGACUGCUAAUACCGCAUAAGCACACAAUGCUGCAUGGCAUGGUGUGAAAAGAUUUAUCGGCAUACGAUGGCCCCGCGUCUGAUUAGCCAGUUGGCAGGGUAAUGGCCUACCAAAGCGACGAUCAGUAGCCGGCUUGAGAGAGUGAACGGCCACAUUGGGACUGAGACACGGCCCAAACUCCUACGGGAGGCAGCAG
rnacentral:rRNA from 1 species